rnacentral:piRNA from 1 species
UCCUGAGUUUCUUCAACCUGUUGCAGG